rnacentral:rRNA from 1 species
GACGAACGCUGGCGGCGUGCCUAAUACAUGCAAGUUGAGCGAUGAAGAUUGGUGCUUGCACCAAUUUGAAGAGCAGCGAACGGGUGAGUAACGCGUGGGGAAUCUGCCUUUGAGCGGGGGACAACAUUUGGAAACGAAUGCUAAUACCGCAUAAUAACUUUAAACAUAAGUUUUAAGUUUGAAAGAUGCAAUUGCAUCACUCAAAGAUGAUCCCGCGUUGUAUUAGCUAGUUGGUGAGGUAAAGGCUCACCAAGGCGAUGAUACAUAGCCGACCUGAGAGGGUGAUCGGCCACAUUGGGACUGAGACACGGCCCAAACUCCUACGGGAGGCAGCAGUAGGGAAUCUUCGGCAAUGGACGAAAGUCUGACCGAGCAACGCCGCGUGAGUGAAGAAGGUUUUCGGAUCGUAAAACUCUGUUGGUAGAGAAGAACGCUGGUGAGAGUGGAAAGCUCAUCAAGUGACGGUAACUACCCAGAAAGGGACGGCUAACUACGUG